GGGACUCAUGAAAAACAUAGUGAAAAAACAUGUGAAAUUCGUAGAAGAACUCAUAAGAACAUAGUAGAAGAAAUACACAGGAAAACAUAGUAGAAGAAAUUAAUAAGAAAUAUAGUAGAACAAACACACAAGAAACUCAACAAAAAUUAGAGAAGCAUUUGGAUAACUUUAACAAAAACCCUAAAUCGGAAAAAGAAAGGUUUCGAAAGUAUAGUUUUAAAAGAAACCUCUUAGGUUUAAGGAAAACAUAGAUCUAGAACAGAUCUAGAGAAAUCAAAAGGACCUCAAAAGGUUAGGAUUUCAGAAGAAACCAGAUGUUGAGAAAGGCCUGGAAGAGUCGUUGGUCUAAGCAAGAGAGGUCGAGAUCAGGCACAAAACAACCAUGGCUUGCCGGAGUAAGGCCGGAGACGGCCAUAGAACUUGAGUCAAACGAAGCCUGGACCAAGCUUCUUUGUGGUCAGGCCUUGAAACUUCAGUAACCAAGUGUGUAAGAGUCAUAGGAGGCCCGUAUCAGACUCCAAUGGCCUGGGAAGCCAUGGAUUCUGGUGGCUUAAGGUAGAAGUGGAGAGAGGUGACUAAGGUUUCUGAGAGAGAUUGAGAGAGAGUUGAGAAAAUGGGGAUUCAAGGGUGG
rnacentral:lncRNA from 1 species